AGAGUUUGAUCCUGGCUCAGAACGAACGCUGGCGGCAGGCCUAACACAUGCAAGUCGAACGAAGUCUUCGGACUGAGUGGCGGACGGGUGAGUAACACGUGGGAACCUAUCCUUUGGUGCGGAAUAACAGAGGGAAACUUCUGCUAAUACCGCAUACGCCCUAAGGGGGAAAGAUUUAUCGCCAAAGGAGGGGCCCGCGUAGGAUUAGCUAGUUGGUGGGGUAAUGGCCUACCAAGGCUGCGAUCCUUAGCUGGUCUGAGAGGAUGAUCAGCCACACUGGGACUGAGACACGGCCCAGACUCCUACGGGAGGCAGCAGUGGGGAAUAUUGGACAAUGGGGGCAACCCUGAUCCAGCCAUGCCGCGUGAAUGAAGAAGGCCCUAGGGUUGUAAAGUUCUUUCACUCGUGAGGAUGAUGACAGUAGCGAGAGAAGAAGCCCCGGCUAACUCCGUGCCAGCAGCCGCGGUAAUACGGAGGGGGCAAGCGUUGUUCGGAUUUACUGGGCGUAAAGGGCGCGUAGGCGGCAUGCCAAGUUGGGGGUGAAAGGCCUGGGCUUAACCUAGGAACUGCCUUCAAACUGGCAAGCUUGAGACCGGGAGAGGUUAGCGGAAUUCCCAGUGUAGAGGUGAAAU
rnacentral:rRNA from 1 species